AGUCGAACGAGAUCUUCGGAUCUAGUGGCGCACGGGUGCGUAACGCGUGGGAAUCUGCCCUUGGGUUCGGAAUAACGUCGGGAAACUGACGCUAAUACCGGAUGAUGACGAAAGUCCAAAGAUUUAUCGCCCAGGGAUGAGCCCGCGUAGGAUUAGCUAGUUGGUGAGGUAAAGGCUCACCAAGGCUACGAUCCUUAGCUGGUCUGAGAGGAUGAUCAGCCACACUGGGACUGAGACACGGCCCAGACUCC
rnacentral:rRNA from 1 species